rnacentral:misc_RNA from 1 species
UACGUAGGGUGCGAGCGUUGUCCGGAAUUAUUGGGCGUAAAGGGCUCGUAGGCGGUUUGUCGCGUCGGGAGUGAAAACCAGGUGCUUAACACUUGGCUUGCUUUCGAUACGGGCAGACUGGAGGUAUGCAGGGGAGAACGGAAUUCCUGGUGUAGCGGUGAAAUGCGCAGAUAUCAGGAGGAACACCGGUGGCGAAGGCGGUUCUCUGGGCAUUACCUGACGCUGAGGAGCGAAAGCGUGGGGAGCAAACAGG